rnacentral:sRNA from 1 species
AGACUUUUGCUCCUGGGUUGGGUUUGCAUCAUCCCCAUUACACCCUCGGGAAAGAGGAGCCAGCCCCCUUUCAAGCCUUAGCUUCCGGCUCCAAGCCGACCCCCUCCCCCUCCCUGUCCCCUUCCCCUUCUCCCAUCCCUCUCUCGGCCACAGCGUCUUGUUAGUCCUCUCCCUCUACUCCGCAAUAUUUUCUUUCUUUCUCCCUCCUCUCCUCCAUUUGUUGUUUGAUGUUUCCCACUCUUUGAGGAAGGAUGGUUGAUUUGGAGAGCGAAGUGCCCCCUCUGCCUCCCAGGUACAGGUUUCGAGAUUUGCUGCUAGGGGACCAAGGAUGGCAAAACGACGACAGGGUACAAGUUGAAUUCUAUAUGAAUGAAAAUACAUUUAAAGAAAGACUAAAAUUAUUUUUCAUAAAAAACCAGAGAUCAAGUCUAAGGAUACGCCUGUUCAAUUUUUCUCUCAAAUUACUAAGCUGCUUAUUAUACAUAAUCCGAGUACUACUAGAAAACCCUUCACAAGGAAAUGAAUGGUCUCAUAUCUUUUGGGUGAACAGAAGUCUACCUUUGUGGGGCUUACAGGUUUCAGUGGCAUUGAUAAGUCUGUUUGAAACAAUAUUACUUGGUUAUCUUAGUUAUAAGAUAUUCUGGCCUUCCUUAAGGAAUCUAUUUGUCCCAGUCUUUCUGAACUGUUGGCUUGCCAAACAUGCCUUGGAAAAUAUGAUUAAUGAUCUACACAGAGCCAUUCAGCGUACACAGUCUGCAAUGUUUAAUCAAGUUUUGAUUUUAAUAUCUACAUUACUAUGCCUUAUCUUCACCUGCAUUUGUGGGAUCCAACAUCUGGAACGAAUAGGAAAGAAGCUGAAUCUCUUUGACUCCCUUUAUUUCUGCAUUGUGACGUUUUCUACUGUGGGCUUCGGGGAUGUCACUCCUGAAACAUGGUCCUCCAAGCUUUUUGUAGUUGCUAUGAUUUGUGUUGCUCUUGUGGUUCUACCCAUACAGUUUGAACAGCUGGCUUAUUUGUGGAUGGAGAGACAAAAGUCAGGAGGAAACUAUAGUCGACAUAGAGCUCAAACUGAAAAGCAUGUCGUCCUGUGUGUCAGCUCACUGAAGAUUGAUUUACUUAUGGAUUUUUUAAAUGAAUUCUAUGCUCAUCCUAGGCUCCAGGAUUAUUAUGUGGUGAUUUUGUGUCCUACUGAAAUGGAUGUACAGGUUCGAAGGGUACUGCAGAUUCCAAUGUGGUCCCAACGAGUUAUCUACCUUCAAGGUUCAGCCCUUAAAGAUCAAGACCUAUUGAGAGCAAAGAUGGAUGACGCUGAGGCCUGUUUUAUUCUCAGUAGCCGUUGUGAAGUGGAUAGGACAUCAUCUGAUCACCAAACAAUUUUGAGAGCAUGGGCUGUGAAAGAUUUUGCUCCAAAUUGUCCUUUGUAUGUCCAGAUAUUAAAGCCUGAAAAUAAAUUUCACAUCAAAUUUGCUGAUCAUGUUGUUUGUGAAGAAGAGUUUAAAUACGCCAUGUUAGCUUUAAACUGUAUAUGCCCAGCAACAUCUACACUUAUUACACUACUGGUUCAUACCUCUAGAGGGCAGUGUGUGUGCCUGUGUUGCAGAGAAGGCCAGCAAUCGCCAGAACAAUGGCAGAAGAUGUACGGUAGAUGCUCCGGGAAUGAAGUCUACCACAUUGUUUUGGAAGAAAGUACAUUUUUUGCUGAAUAUGAAGGAAAGAGUUUUACAUAUGCUUCUUUCCAUGCACACAAAAAGUUUGGCGUCUGCUUGAUUGGUGUUAGGAGGGAGGAUAAUAAAAACAUUUUGCUGAAUCCAGGUCCUCGAUACAUUAUGAAUUCUACAGACAUAUGUUUUUAUAUUAAUAUCACCAAAGAAGAGAAUUCAGCAUUUAAAAACCAAGACCAGCAGAGAAAAAGCAAUGUGUCCAGGUCAUUUUAUCAUGGACCUUCCAGAUUACCUGUACAUAGCAUAAUUGCCAGCAUGGGUACUGUGGCUAUAGACUUGCAAGAUACAAGCUGUAGGUCAGCAAGUGGCCCUACCCUGUCUCUUCCUACAGAGGGAAGCAAAGAAAUAAGAAGACCUAGCAUUGCUCCUGUUUUAGAGGUUGCAGAUACAUCAUCGAUUCAAACAUGUGAUCUUCUAAGUGACCAAUCAGAAGAUGAAACUACACCAGAUGAAGAAAUGUCUUCAAACUUAGAGUAUGCUAAAGGUUACCCACCUUAUUCUCCAUAUAUAGGAAGUUCACCCACUUUUUGUCAUCUCCUUCAUGAAAAAGUACCAUUUUGCUGCUUAAGAUUAGACAAGAGCUGCCAGCAUAACUACUAUGAGGAUGCAAAAGCCUAUGGAUUCAAAAAUAAACUAAUUAUAGUUGCAGCUGAAACAGCUGGAAAUGGAUUAUAUAACUUUAUUGUUCCUCUCAGGGCAUAUUAUAGACCAAAGAAAGAACUUAAUCCCAUAGUACUGCUAUUGGAUAACCCCCUAGAUGACUUACUCAGGUGUGGAGUGACCUUUGCUGCUAAUAUGGUGGUUGUGGAUAAAGAGAGCACCAUGAGUGCCGAGGAAGACUACAUGGCAGAUGCCAAAACCAUUGUGAACGUGCAGACACUCUUCAGGUUGUUUUCCAGUCUCAGUAUUAUCACAGAGCUAACUCACCCCGCCAACAUGAGAUUCAUGCAAUUCAGAGCCAAAGACUGUUACUCUCUUGCUCUUUCAAAACUGGAAAAGAAAGAACGGGAGAGAGGCUCUAACUUGGCCUUUAUGUUUCGACUGCCUUUUGCUGCUGGGAGGGUGUUUAGCAUCAGUAUGUUGGACACUCUGCUAUAUCAGUCAUUUGUGAAGGAUUAUAUGAUUUCUAUCACGAGACUUCUGUUGGGACUGGACACUACACCAGGAUCUGGGUUUCUUUGUUCUAUGAAAAUCACUGCAGAUGACUUAUGGAUCAGAACUUAUGCCAGACUUUAUCAGAAGUUGUGUUCUUCUACUGGAGAUGUUCCCAUUGGAAUCUACAGGACUGAGUCUCAGAAACUUACUACAUCUGAGUCUCGAAAAAUAGCAUCACAAUCUCAAAUAUCUAUCAGUGUAGAAGAGUGGGAAGACACCAAAGACUCCAAAGAACAAGGGCACCACCGCAGCAACCACCGCAACUCAACAUCCAGUGACCAGUCGGACCAUCCCUUGCUGCGGAGAAAAAGCAUGCAGUGGGCCCGAAGACUGAGCAGAAAAGGCCCAAAACACUCUGGUAAAACAGCUGAAAAAAUAACCCAGCAGCGACUGAACCUCUACAGGAGGUCAGAAAGACAAGAGCUUGCUGAACUUGUGAAAAAUAGAAUGAAACACUUGGGUCUUUCUACAGUGGGAUAUGGUAUGCUCUUUAAAAACUACUGUAUAUAUGGGCUCGUGAUUUCUUGCCAUUAGUAGUAAUAUAGUUGGUUCUAAUUUAAUAAAGAAUUGAAUUUUUGCUUCACAG